UACAGGGGGCUCGAGCGUUAGUCGGAAUCACUGGGCUUAAAGGGUGCGUAGGCGGCUUAUCAAGUGUUUUGUGAAAUCCCACAGCUCAACUGUGGAACAGCAGGGCAAACUGAUAAGCUUGAGGCAGGUAGGGGCCGGAAGAACAGUUGGUGGAGCGGCGAAAUGCGUAGAUAUCAACUGGAAUGCCGAUGGGGAAGCCGUCCGGCUGGGCCUGUCCUGACGCUGAGGCACGAAAGCGUGGGGAGCAAACAGG
rnacentral:rRNA from 1 species